UUUCGCAAUGCCCGAAAGGGUGACGAAGCGACGCCGCGUGUGGGAAGAAGGCCUUCGGGUUGUAAACCACUGUCGGGAGUUAAGAAAUGCAAGGAUAUGAAUAGUGUCUUUGCUUGACUAAGGCUCCGGAGGAAGCCACGGCUAACUCUGUGCCAGCAGCCGCGGUAAUACAGAGGCGGCAAGCGUUGUUCGGAAUUAUUAGGCGGAAAGAGCACGUAGGCGGCUAUGUAAGUCGGUUGCGAAAGCCUUCCGCUCAACGGGAGAACAGCAUCCGAUACUGCAUGGCUUGAGUGCAGGAGGGGAGAGUGGAACUUCUGGUGGAGCGGUGAAAUGCGUAGAUAUCAGAAGGAACGCCGGCGGCGAAAGCGGCUCUCUGGCCCAUAACUGACGCUGAGUGUGCGAAAGCUAGGGGAGCAAACGGGAUUAGAUACCCCGGUAGUCCUAGCCGUAAACGAUGGGCACUAAGUAGAGGGGUUUU
rnacentral:rRNA from 1 species